GACGAACGCUGGCGGCGUGCCUAAUACAUGCAAGUAGAACGCUGAAGCGAGGAGCUUGCUCUUCUUGGAUGAGUUGCGAACGGGUGAGUAACGCGUAGGUAACCUGCCUUGUAGCGGGGGAUAACUAUUGGAAACGAUAGCUAAUACCGCAUAACAAUGGAUGACCCAUGUCAUUUAUUUGAAAGGGGCAAAUGCUCCACUACAAGAUGGACCUGCGUUGUAUUAGCUAGUAGGUGAGGUAACAGCUCACCUAGGCGACGAUACAUAGCCGACCUGAGAGGGUGAUCGGCCACACUGGGACUGGGACACGGCCCAGACUCCUACGGGAGGCAGCAGUAGGGAAUCUUCGGCAAUGGGGGCAACCCUGACCGAGCAACGCCGCGUGAGUGCAGAAGGUUUUCGGAUCGUAAAGCUCUGUUGUAAGUCAAGAACGAGUGUGAGAGUGGAAAGUUCACACUGUGACGGUAGCUUACCAGAAAGGGACGGCUAACUACGUG
rnacentral:rRNA from 1 species